UACGUAGGCAGCGAGCGUUGUUCGGAGUUACUGGGCGUAAAGGGUGCGUAGGCGGUUGUUUAAGUUUGGUGUGAAAUCUCCCGGCUCAACUGGGAGGGUGCGCCGAAUACUGAAUGACUAGAGUGCGGGGAGAGGAGAGUGGAAUUCCUGGUGUAGCGGUGAAAUGCGUAGAUAUCAGGAGGAACACCGGUGGUGUAGACGGCUCUCUGGACCGUAACUGACGCUGAGGCACGAAAGCGUGGGUAGCAAACAGG
rnacentral:rRNA from 1 species